ACGCUAGCUACAGGCUUAACACAUGCAAGUCUAGGGGCAUCAGUUUGGUUUGCUUGCAAACCAAAGCUGGCGACCGGCGCACGGGUGAGUAACACGUAUCCAACCUGCCUCAUACUCGGGGAUAGCCUUUCGAAAGAAAGAUUAAUAUCCGAUAGCAUAUAUUUCCCGCAUGGGUUUUAUAUUAAAGAAAUUCGGUAUGAGAUGGGGAUGCGUUCCAUUAGUUUGUUGGGGGGGUAACGGCCCACCAAGACUACGAUGGAUAGGGGUUCUGAGAGGAAGGUCCCCCACAUUGGAACUGAGACACGGUCCAAACUCCUACGGGAGGCAGCAGUGAGGAAUAUUGGUCAAUGGACGCGAGUCUGAACCAGCCAAGUAGCGUGAAGGAUGACUGCCCUAUGGGUUGUAAACUUCUUUUAUAUGGGAAUAAAGUUGUCCACGUGUGGAUUUUUGUAUGUACCAUAUGAAUAAGGAUCGGCUAACUCCGUGCCAGCAGCCGCGGUAAUACGGAGGAUCCGAGCGUUAUCCGGAUUUAUUGGGUUUAAAGGGAGCGUAGGCGGAUUGUUAAGUCAGUUGUGAAAGUUUGCGGCUCAACUGUAAAAUUGCAGUUGAUACUGGCAGUCUUGAGUGCAGUAGAGGUGGGCGGAAUUCGUGGUGUAGCGGUGAAAUGCUUAGAUAUCACGAAGAACUCCGAUUGCGAAGGCAGCUCACUGGAGUGUAACUGACGCUGAUGCUCGAAAGUGUGGGUAUC
rnacentral:rRNA from 1 species